GCUCUCUUUGACAGAACAUAUACUAAAAUUGGAAAGAUACAGAGAUUAGCAUGGCCCCUACGCAAGCAUGACAUGCAAAUUCAUGAAGUAUUCCAUAUUUUA